rnacentral:pre_miRNA from 2 species
UUGUGCUUGAUCUAACCAUGUGGUAGAACAAUACAUAUUGAACAUGGUUCUGUCAAGCACCAUG